rnacentral:lncRNA from 1 species
AUGGCACUGAGUGGCGCAGUGUGGGUGGGCUGUGGGCUGCAGCUUGAGCGGGGCCUUGGCACCUGCCAUGCCUCACCGGCUGAGGCCUUGGUGGCUGGGGAUGGGCACGGUUUGUGCGUGGAACCCGCCCUGCUCUCGGUGCAUGAAUUCUCGGGGAAACGUGGUUGGAGAACAACAAGAAAUGGUAUGGGAACCGUGGGAAUCAGGCAUUUUGCACAGGAAGUAUUGGGAGAUGUUUUUACUGUAGUCUGCCUGAAGCUGGGACAAAAUUGAACAAACAAGAUGAAUUUGGUGCUUUGGAAAGUGUGAAAGCUGUUCAUGAACUCCAUUCUCCUUUAUCAGGAGAAGUAACUGAAAUUAAUGAAGCUCUUGCAGAAAAUACAGAACUUAUUGACAAAUCUUGUUAUAAAAAUGUUUGGCCGAUCAAGAUGACACUGAGUAACUCUUCAGAACUAGGUGAACUUAACUAGAUGAACUUAUGAGUGAAGAAGCUUAUAAAAAAUACGGAAAAAUCUAUUGAGGAGUGA